GCCGGAGUGGCGGAAUUGGCAGACGCGAUGGAUUCAAAAUCCAUUGGGGUAACACCCGUGGGGGUUCGAGUCCCCCCUCCGGUA
rnacentral:tRNA from 1 species